rnacentral:lncRNA from 1 species
AUGUUUAAUUUACAAUCAUAAGGGACUAAUGUGGGUUAAAAGGGAAGUUGGGAUAUUAUAAGAAAAUAUCAACACACACAAACACACAUUCGUGUGUGUUCUACGUCGAUCAGAAGCUCCCAAAGGAGCCAAACCCUAGCUCAAGCUUAUUUGCUCAAAUUGAAAGGGGAAUUCAACCCAAAUCUAAUGCAUGUACCCGAAUUCUUAGUCAUCUAGCCCUAAAGAUCACUUGGUAAGUUGUAAUUUUUGAUUUGGUGAUUUUGAUAUGAAGCGGGUUUUGAUCAACCCGCGAAUUUGUAUGAAAUUGAGCAUGAGAAUGUUAAUUAUAUGAUUAGAGAUGAAAACCCACUUGUGGUAGUGAAGAUGAUGUUAUGGAUAAUCAUGUAUGCUUAAUUGUUGUGUAAAGUUUAUGUAUGAUAUUGUAUGUAAUGAGUAAUUGUUAGUUAAUUUGGGUAUAUUAUGAGAAUUAUAUGAUUCAAGUGGAAUUUGAUGAUGUUGAUAUAAACUAGUAAGAAUAUGCAAUGAAUGCUUGUACAUAAUGUUUUGUUAGUAGUACACCCGCCAAGUGUUCGAUGAAAUGCCUAAGAGAGCAAAAUUGUGAAAUUAUAUGAAAGUUGUGGGUAAGUAUGUAUAGAAGGUGCUUAUGGUGUAGCCGUUAGCAAAAUAAUAAGUAAAGUGUGCUUAAGGUGGAGUCCAUAUGAGAAUUCGGAUUUGAAUGUAUGGUUUGGUAAAAUUAUGCAAUAAGAACUUGUACCUUAUGCUUCAAUGGUGUGAUGCUCGCCAUGUAAUUGAUGCGCUUGAUUUAUGGUGACUACGAGUGAAUGUGUACGAAUGUGAAAUGAAUAGUUUAUUGAUAAGUGAUAAUGUUGGAGUUAUGUCGUGUACGUAUGUAAGAUGAUAAUUUUGAUUAAGUGAAUGUUGAGCAAUGCGGUUGUCGAAUGUAGAGUUAUGAAAACAUAAGUAUGUGUAUAUUGUGUAAGUGACUAGGUGAUCAUGUAGUUGUAUGUGUUAUACAACAUUAUGUAUGAAAUUAAUAUGAUGUCAUUAAUAUGGUCUAUUAUAUCAACAUAAAUGCGUGUUCGAAAUUGGAAGUUAUAUGCUAGAAGGUUGACUUUCUGAAAGUCAACAGAGAAUCUAUAGCAUGGUUAGGCAUUUUGACACAAAUAUAAGAAUCGAGAGAUCAUGGAAUAUGUGUUAGAUCAAUUAUGUGUUAUGUGUGAUAACGAAUUUAGAUUCCAAGGAUAUUGAAACUAUGUGGUUGACCAAUCAUGUCGUAUGCGUGUUAGUGAAAGUCAAUGUAGAUAAGAGUUGGAAAAUGUGUGUUAAUAUGAAUGAGCAUGAAUACUAACAUUAUU